GUGGGGAAUAUUGGACAAUGGGCGCAAGCCUGAUCCAGCAAUGCCGCGUGGGUGAAGAAGGUCUUCGGAUCGUAAAGCCCUUUCGACAGGGACGAUGAUGACGGUACCUGUAGAAGAAGCCCCGGCUAACUUCGUGCCAGCAGCCGCGGUAAUACGAAGGGGGCUAGCGUUACUCGGAAUUACUGGGCGUAAAGGGCGCGUAGGCGGCUCUGUUAGUCAGGCGUGAAAUUCCUGGGCUUAACCUGGGGACUGCGCUUGAUACUGCAGGGCUUGAGGCCGAGAGAGGGUGGUGGAAUUCCCAGUGUAGAGGUGAAAUUCGUAGAUAUUGGGAAGAACACCGGUGGCGAAGGCGACCACCUGGCUCGGUUCUGACGCUGAGGCGCGACAGCGUGGGGAGCAAACAGGAUUAGAAACCCGAGUAGUCC
rnacentral:rRNA from 1 species